UCUCUCGGUGACAGAAUUCUUUCAUUUGUACGGCAAUGCAUUUGUUAAGGCACUGUCCGAUCUCGGCAUGAAGAUGGACAACCUUAAAGAAUGUUGGAUUGAGAAAUGCCAUCAAUUGGAGUAUCUGGUUGUCAGAAGAACGGCAGACAUUGAUGCAGUGGUCUGUUUAGAGAAUCUAAGGGUGUCCGAUCUUGCCAAAUUAAGAACAGUGUGCCGGGGGGAGUUGGGAAGAGGGAGCUUCGCAUGUCUAAAGAAUAUAUAUUUGGAAUGUUGUCCGAAGCUCAUCAACUUCUUCUCUUCAAGCAUUCGGUUACAGAAUCUCAAAUUACUUGAAAUAAAAUUCUGUUGUAGACUGGAGAAGGUUUUUGAAGAAGACAAUGUGGCAGGGCAAAAUGCAUUUCCACGGCUAGUUGAUUUACGUCUUUGGGAGCUACGCAAGCUAAAAAGCAUUUGUGGUGGGCACUUGCCGAUGCUGGAGAAGUUGAAGAUUCGAGGAUGCCCGAUGCUGGAGAAGCUUCCGUUCAAUAACACAAAUGAUUCUACAACAGAAGUCGAGAUCCAAGGUGAGCUUAAAUGGUGGGAAAGCAUAAAAUGGGAGGGCAGCAUCAAGCCAUGCAACAUCCAUUUCAAAGAAAGGCGUCCAUAACCAAGGUGGUUGCUAUUGCUAUGCCUGUUUGCUUCAGUCGCUGCAUGUGCUCCUGGUUUUGCAGGACAUGUCUUUAUCCUUCAACCUCCCUGCGCGCUUUCUUGAAGACUAUGCAAUUUUGUCUGUGCCUCCACCUCCGAUUUUUGCAAAGUCAUUAUUAUGAUUGGGAAGGAGGGCGGUAAAGGUUAUUGGAAAGGCAAUCUACCAC